AUUGAACGCUGGCGGCAUGCCUAACACAUGCAAGUCGAGCGGAUGAAGGGAGCUUUCUCCUGGAUUCAGCGGCGGACGGGUGAGUAAUGCCUAGGAAUCUGCCUGGUAUUGGGGGAUAACGUCCGGAAACGGGAGCUAAUAUCGCAUACGUCCUGAGGGAGAAAGUGGGGGAUCUUCGGACCUCACGCUAUCUGAUGAGCCUAGGUCGGAUUAGCUAGUUGGUGGGGUAAAGGCCUACCAAGGCGACGAUCCGUAACUGGUCUGAGAGGAUGAUCAGUCACACUGGAACUGAGACACGGUCCAGACUCCUACGGGAGGCAGCAGUAGGGAAUAUUGGGCAAAGGGCGAAAGCCUGAUCCAGCAAUGCCGCGUGUGUGAAGAAGGUCUUCGGAUUGUAAAGCACUUUAAGUUGGGAGGAAGGGCAGUAAGUUAAUACAUUGCCGUUUUGACGGUACCAACAGAGUAAGCACCGGCUAACUUCGUG
rnacentral:rRNA from 1 species